GCGUGCAUAACACAUGCAAGUCGAACGAUGAAACUUAAAUGAUUUCUUCGGAAUGAACUUAAGUGGAUUAGUGGCGGACGGGUGAGUAACGCGUGAGUAACCUGCCUUACACAAGGGGAUAGCCGUUGGAAACGACGAAUAAUACCCUAUGAAACUAUCACUUCGCAUGAAGCGAUAGUCAAAGUGUUAGCGGUGUAAGAUGGACUUGCGUCUGAUUAGCUAGUUGGUGAGAAAAAAGCCCACCAAGGCAACGAUCAGUAGCCGGCUUGAGAGAGUGUACGGCCACAUUGGGACUGAGACACGGCCCAGACUCCUACGGGAGGCAGCAGUGGGGAAUUUUGCACAAUGGGGGAAACCCUGAUGCAGCGACGCCGCGUGAUUUAGAAGGCCUUCGGGUUGUAAAAAUCUUUUGUAUAGGAAGAAAAUGACAGUACUAUACGAAUAAGGUCCGGCUAAUUACGUGCCAGCAGCCGCGGUAAUACGUAAGGACCGAGCGUUGUCCGGAAUCAUUGGGCGUAAAGGGUAC
rnacentral:rRNA from 2 species